rnacentral:rRNA from 1 species
CCUACGGGCGGCAGCAGUGAGGAAUAUUGGUCAAUGGGCGGGAGCCUGAACCAGCCAAGCCGCGUGAGGGAAGAAGGUACAGCGUAUCGUAAACCUCUUUUGUCAGGGAACAAAGGCGGGGACUAGUCCCCGGAUGAGGGUACCUGAAGAAAAAGCAUCGGCUAACUCCGUGCCAGCAGCCGCGGUAAUACGGAGGAUGCGAGCGUUAUCCGGAUUUAUUGGGAUUAAAGGGUGCGCAGGCGGCCUGUUAAGUCAGCGGGAAAAGCCCGGGGCUCAACCCCGGCGAGCCGUUGAAACUGGCGGGCUGGAGUUGGAGAGAAGUACGCGGAAUGCGCGGUGUAGCGGUGAAAUGCUUAGAUAUCGCGCAGAACCCCGAUUGCGAAGGCAGCGUACCGGCUCCACACUGACGCUGAGGCACGAAAGCGUGGGUAUCGAACAGGAUUAGACACCCUUGUAGUC